UCUGGUUAGCCCAACAAGAGACAAAACUCAUCCCCUUUGCGGUGACUUGUUAGUCCGCAAUUUAGAAUCUCGACGCUUGUGAGCCUGCAACCAAGAGAUGAGAAACAUGAAGAUUUUUCUCUUCGCCCUGGCACUACUCAUGCUAUCUUCAGGUAUCUAGGGAGUAGACAAUACUAUCUUCAACAUCUACACUUCGAGAAUUGUAGUAUAUGUAUGUUGCGCUGCUCUAACUUUUCUUAUUUUCUCUUUUGAUACCUAGAUAUGGCAACCUCCCUCCAGUGCAGACAUGUCCUUAAAAGCGGCCCAUGUCAAAUCGAUGAUUGUAGAGCUUACUGCAAUAAGAUACCUAGAGUGCCCUCACCCAAAAAUCCCGACGUGUGUGUUCCCGAGGGAUGCAAGUGUGUAGUAUGUGGAGGGGUGCAAGCAGGGAUGUAGUGUUCCCUCUAAGGUUGCUGAACUAAUGGUAAUGGUCUCACAUACCAUGUGGCCUUGUAUAUUUAUCAAGGUCAAUAUUGAUAGAGAAUAAUAAAAAUGUCAUCAUCUUGCAUUUGACUUGACUUCUGAAUGGUAUCGUAUUAAACA
rnacentral:lncRNA from 1 species